rnacentral:rRNA from 1 species
GUAGGGAAUCUUGCGCAAUGGGCGAAAGCCUGACGCAGCCAUGCCGCGUGAAUGAUGAAGGUCUUAGGAUUGUAAAAUUCUUUCACCGGGGACGAUAAUGACGGUACCCGGAGAAGAAGCCCCGGCUAACUUCGUGCCAGCAGCCGCGGUAAUACGAAGGGGGCUAGCGUUGCUCGGAAUUACUGGGCGUAAAGGGAGCGUAGGGGGAUAGUUUAGUCAGAGGUGAAAGCCCAGGGCUCAACCUUGGAAUUGCCUUUGAUACUGGCUAUCUUGAGUAUGGAAGAGGUAUGUGGAACUCCGAGUGUAGAGGUGAAAUUCGUAGAUAUUCGGAAGAACACCAGUGGCGAAGGCGACAUACUGGUCCAUUACUGACGCUGAGGCUCGAAAGCGUGGGGAGCAAACAGGAUUAGAUACCCGGGUAGUCC